AAAUGAACCGAUUAAAAACUGAUCUCCGCCUCCGUCUCCGGCGACCUCUCUUUCUCUCGAGUCUCGACGGACGGAUACAUCUUCCCCUCCGCCACUUUGCUACCGUACCAGGGCGUCUCCUCUCAUGAUCAUCGUCAUGUCCUCCUCCUGCCAUCCCCACGACCACCACCACACCAAGUCGCCGGAGCCCACCUCCGUGCUCUACAACCGCAGCCCAAGCCCCCCCACCUCCUCCUCCCUCGGCUCCUGCUCCUCCAAACCCCUCACUACCACCGCCGACGACUGGGAGGCCGUCCUCGGCGACAUGGUCACCCCC
rnacentral:lncRNA from 1 species